GACAGAGGGUGCAAACGUUGCUCGGAAUUACUGGGCGUAAAGCGCGUGUAGGCUGACCGGAAAGUCGGGCGUGAAAGCCCUGGGCUCAACCCAGGAACUGCACUCGAAACUCCCGGUCUAGAGUGGUGGAGAGGGAAGUGGAAUUCCUGGUGUAGAGGUGAAAUUCGUAGAUAUCAGGAGGAACACCAGUGGCGAAGGCGGCUUCCUGGACACCAACUGACGCUGAGACGCGAAAGCGUGGGGAGCAAACGGG
rnacentral:rRNA from 1 species